UGGGGAAUAUUGCACAAUGGGCGCAAGCCUGAUGCAGCCAUGCCGCGUGUAUGAAGAAGGCCUUCGGGUUGUAAAGUACUUUCAGCGGGGAGGAAGGGAGUAAAGUUAAUACCUUUGCUCAUUGACGUUACCCGCAGAAGAAGCACCGGCUAACUCCGUGCCAGCAGCCGCGGUAAUACGGAGGGUGCAAGCGGUAAUCGGAAUUACUGGGCGUAAAGCGCACGCAGGCGGUUUGUUAAGUCAGAUGUGAAAUCCCCGGGCUUAACCCGGGAAUUGCAUCUGAUACUGGUCAGCUAGAGUCUUGUAGAGGGGGGUAGAAUUCCAUGUGUAGCGGUGAAAUGCGUAGAGAUGUGGAGGAAUACCGGUGGCGAAGGCGGCCCCCUGGACAAAGACUGACGCUCAGGUGCGAAAGCGUGGGGAGCAAACAGG
rnacentral:rRNA from 1 species